rnacentral:rRNA from 1 species
GCCUAACACAUGCAAGUCGAGCGGCAGCGGAAAGUAGCUUGCUACUUUGCCGGCGAGCGGCGGACGGGUGAGUAAUGUCUGGGAAACUGCCUGAUAGAGGGGGAUACCAGUUGGAAACGACUGUUAAUACCGCAUAAUGUCUACGGACCAAAGUGUGGGACCUUCGGGCCACAUGCUAUCGGAUGCGCCUACGUGGGAUUAGCUAGUUGGUGAGGUAAUGGCUCACCAAGGCGACGAUCUCUAGCUGGUUUGAGAGGAUGAUCAGCCACACUGGAACUGAGACACGGUCCAGACUCCUACGGGAGGCAGCAGUGGGGAAUAUUGGACAAUGGGCGCAAGCCUGAUCCAGCCAUGCCGCGUGUGUGAAGAAGGCCUUCGGGUUGUAAAGCACUUUCAGCGAGGAGGAAGGGUGGUGUGUUAAUAGCACAUCAUUUUGACGUUACUCGCAGAAGAAGCACCGGCUAACUCUGUGCCAGCCGCCGCAGUAA